rnacentral:rRNA from 1 species
AGAGACAGCAGUAGCCACGGGAAUACGAAGGGUGCAAGCGUUACUCGGAAUUACUGGGCGUAAAGCGUGCGUAGGUGGUGGUUUAAGUCCGUUGUGAAAGCCCUGGGCUCAACCUGGGAAUUGCAGUGGAUACUGGGUCACUAGAGUGUGGUAGAGGAUAGUGGAAUUUCCGGUGUAGCAGUGAAAUGCGUAGAGAUCGGAAGGAACAUCUGUGGCGAAGGCGACUAUCUGGGCCAACACUGACACUGAGGCACGAAAGCGUGGGGAGCAAACAGGAUUAGAUACCCCAGUAGUCCCUGUCUCUUAUAC